rnacentral:rRNA from 1 species
GACGAACGCUGGCGGCAUGCCUAAUACAUGCAAGUCGAGCGGACUUGAUGAGAAGCUUGCUUCUCAGAUAGUUAGCGGCGGACGGGUGAGUAACACGAAGGCAACCUGCCCUCAAGCUUGGGACAACUACCGGAAACGGUAGCUAAUACCGAAUACUUGUUUUCUUCGCCUGAAGGAAACUGGAAAGACGGAGUAAUCUGUCACUUGGGGAUGGGCCUGCGGCGCUUUAGCUAGUUGGGAAGGUAACGGCUCACCAAGGCGACGAUGCGUAGCCGACCUGAGAGGGUGAUCGGCCACACUGGGACUGAGACACGGCCCAGACUCCUACGGGAGGCAGCAGUAGGGAAUCUUCCGCAAUGGGCGAAAGCCUGACGGAGCAAUGCCGCGUGAGUGAUGAAGGUUUUCGGAUCGUAAAGCUCUGUUGCCAGGGAAGAACGCUUGGGAGAGUAACUGCUCCCAAGGUGACGGUACCUGAGAAGAAAGCCCCGGCUAACUACGUGCCAGCCGCCGCCGUAA